CUCGGAUUGCCUCUGACUUCCUCUCCUCAUCUCGGCCCGAAGCAGAUCCGGACCUCUUCUUGUCUCUGUUUGAAAGGGUUGCUGAGUCCAAGCGAUGGGUGGAUGAAGAACGCACUCUCCUCCUCCAAUGUGUGUUCACAGGUUUUCUGGGAGAAGAGUCUAAGCAGCAGCAUUGAGGCAUUAUAGAAAUGUGAUGGAGACUAACAGUCUGCUGCCGAAGCCUAAACCAAAGAAGUUCAGAGGUUGGACAUAUGUGAUUCUUGCCAUCAUCACCUUCAUUACC